GGAGGAAUACCCAAGUCUGGCUGAAGGGAUCGGUCUUGAAAACCGACAGACCGUGAAAGCGGUGCAGGGGUUCGAAUCCCUUUUCCUCCGCCA
rnacentral:tRNA from 1 species